AUUGAACGCUGGCGGCAUGCCUUACACAUGCAAGUCGAACGGCAGCAUGAUCUAGCUUGCUCGAUUGAUGGCGAGUGGCGAACGGGUGAGUAAUACAUCGGAACGUGCCCUGUAGUGGGGGAUCACUAGUCGAAAGAUUAGCUAAUACCGCAUACGACCUGAGGGUGAAAGUGGGGGACCGCAAGGCCUCAUGCUAUAGGAGCGGCCGAUGUCUGAUUAGCUAGUUGGUGAGGUAAAGGCUCACCAAGGCGACGAUCAGUAGCUGGUCUGAGAGGACGAUCAGCCACACUGGGACUGAGACACGGCCCAGACUCCUACGGGAGGCAGCAGUGGGGAAUUUUGGACAAUGGGCGAAAGCCUGAUCCAGCAAUGCCGCGUGUGUGAAGAAGGCCUUCGGGUUGUAAAGCACUUUUGUCCGGAAAGAAAUGGCUCUGGUUAAUACCUGGGGUCGAUGACGGUACCGGAAGAAUAAGGACCGGCUAACUACGUG
rnacentral:rRNA from 1 species